CCUCUCAUGGCGUAGUGGUAACGCGCCCCAACUAGAGAUCGGGGAGUCGUGAGUUCGAUUCUCACUUAGAAAA
rnacentral:tRNA from 1 species